GGUAAUAUGAUUUAAUUUUAUUUAGUUCUAAUAAAUUGAUAUGGGGAGAUUUUAAUUUAAAGUUUAUUGGGUGAAAUUUUAAAUUUUAGUAAGAUUGAGAGGAAAAUUAUUAUUUAGGAAACUUUUUUUUUAAACUAGGAUUAGAUACCCUAUUAUUGAAAGCUUAAAUUUUAACUGAAUUAGUAGUAGUUAUGUUCUUGAAAAUUAAAGAUUUUGGCGGUAUUUUAGUCCAUUCAGAGGAACCUGUCCUGUAAUUGAUAAUCCACGAUUAGUAAUACUUUUUUUAUUAGCUUAUAUAUCGUCGUAGUUUGGGUAUUUUUUUAGAAAUUAAAUAUUCAAGAUUCAUUUUAUGAAGGAAUUCAGAUCAAGGUAUAGUUUAUAAAGAAGGAGAGAUGGGUUACAUUAGUUUUAACUGAGGAUGAUUUUAUUUAAAAUUAGUUUGAAUAUGGAUUUGAAAGUAAUUUUUUUUGUAUAAGAAAGAUGAUUUUGGCUCUAAAAUAUGCACAUAUCGCCCGUCGCUUCUACUCUAAGGUGGAAUAAGUCGUAACAAAGUAGUCUUACUGGAAAGUGAGGCUAGAUUGAGCAAGUUAGAGCUUGCUUAUAAAGCGUUUUAUUUACAUUAAAAAGUUAGUUGUGAGAAUCAAUUUUACUUGAUUGGGUAGAAUUAUUGGUUGUUUUUAUUAUGGAUUUAUUGAAGAAAAUAAUUUUGGUAUUUAGUAUGAAUUUGAACUGUUUUAAUUAAUUAUAGAGAAUUAGUAUUGUGAGAGAAAUUUAAAUUAAAUGAGAAAGAAAAAUUGUUUUUU
rnacentral:rRNA from 1 species